ACUGAGGAUUAAUUGUUGAAAGCAAAGAUGGAAUAUAUAGUGGUUCUGGAAGUUAGACUAUCCAAGGAACAUAUUUUUCUAUAUUUUGUAACAAAGGAAUUUUCAUUGCUCAGCAAUAAGAGGAAAAGAAAAUAGAAACAAUGUGGUUUAAAUGAAUAAGCAUCAUGAAUAAAGCGCAAAUGUAUUGUAGAGAGCUGGAAGAGCCUCAGACACCAGGAAUUUGAUUAUUCACUUUUCCAAGAUAAAGUGGCACGGAGUGGGGAAAGACCAUUAAGGAAUGCUGAACAUAAAGGAAUCCUGGGGACCUUACCCUCAGUUAAGACAUAAGAAUGACAACCAGGAGUGUGCUCGCUCAUCUACACAAGGUCAAGUUUCCAUCUGCUGAUUCACACAUCAGUCUAUUCUGACUGUAUUCCUAGAUCUACCAGCAAAACCACUUCCUGUCCGAAUUUAUAGUCAAACAAAGAAAAGCCAAAUCUGCAUGAGAUACCUUGAAUCCAGCCCAAUCCAAUCCUGCAGAAGCCAUUAGGAUUUAAUAGUAGUGACUGAGAGGCAUGAAAAUGAGAUAAUACAGAGCUUUGGACAAGAGAUGAAAUGUUAUGGGGUAAAUAAAAUUGGUAUGAAAGCUCAGCCUCUAUAUUCAGUCUCUUUCUUGCUUUUUACAUAUUCAUAAGAUGUAGAGACUUUGCCUACAUGAUCUCAACUUUCAGUUUCAAAGUGAAUUUUUAUGACUGUUAUAUGGAUAUUCCCUAAAUAACCAUGUUUGUUUUUAGCCUUGUGGAUGUUUACCUAACAUUUUCACUUCUCAUCCAAAGACAACUUUGUGGAAACUAUGAACUUCAGUUGAAUAAAUACAAUUUUGGUCCUG